GAUUUCUAACAUUUCUCUCUGGAAUCUCAAUGAAAUUUUUGUGAAGCACAUCAAGCUCCUGCCUAAGCUUCAAAGGAUUCUUUCUGUUUUUCAAAACUCUAUGUACUCUAGUGAAUUCGAUGAUGAAUAUUCUUUUUUAAUUCGGCAAAGGAAGUGAUAGCUUUUGGUGGGAGGCAUGAGAAGCAUCGAAGAAAUGCCUUCUUGAAGGUGACAAAAAUAGGUGACAUUUGAGAGCACCAUUGAUGUGGUCAACUCAAAGUAGGCUAUGUGAUCGGCAUAGUCCGUGCUUCCUUUGUAUGGUCCAGAUAUACUCCAUGUUUUUUCUUUUAUACCUAGAGAUCUCAAUUUUAUUGAGCACACUCAGAGUACAGGUUGGAAAGUGAACCAGAGGGCUAAGCCGAUCAUCAUUGAUCCUGGUUUAUAUUUGUCAAAGAAGUUUGAUGUUGUUGUCACUAGUGAACGACGAGAGCUGCCAACAUCUUUCAAAUUGUUCACAGGUAUGUAGGUUUGGUUUCCCCUGUAUUUUGAUCGUCUCUGGCUCUUUGUUUGUUAUAUUUCAUCUUAUAUAAUUCACUUAUUUUCUUGCCAAUCUGUUCCGUGUCAAUAAUUGAUUAUCCCCUCUUUAGCAAGUUGGGGUGAUGAGUACUCUUUAUUCCAUGCUGGAUAAACUUGGGAUAUGGAUUAUGAUUGUUUAGCAUUACCUUCCAGUGCCUGCAUUGAAGCUCAACUGGCCGCUUUGAACGGGGCUAGUCAAUGCCAUGA